rnacentral:rRNA from 1 species
CGAAGUCAAGGGGAGCUUGCUCUUUUUGACUUAGUGGCGAACGGGUGAGUAACGCGUGAGGAACCUGCCUCAAAGAGGGGGACAACAGUUGGAAACGACUGCUAAUACCGCAUAAGCCCACAGCUCCGCAUGGAGCAGAGGGAAAAGGAGCAAUCCGCUUUGAGAUGGCCUCGCGUCCGAUUAGCUAGUUGGUGAGGUAACGGCCCACCAAGGCGACGAUCGGUAGCCGGACUGAGAGGUUGAUCGGCCACAUUGGGACUGAGACACGGCCCAGACUCCUACGGGAGGCAGCAGUGGGGAAUAUUGCACAAUGGGGGAAACCCUGAUGCAGCGACGCCGCGUGGAGGAAGAAGGUCUUCGGAUUGUAAACUCCUGUUGUUGGGGAAGAUAAUGACGGUACCCAACAAGGAAGUGACGGCUAACUACGUGCCAGCAGCCGCGGUAAAACGUAGGUCACAAGCGUUGUCCGG